CCGCGCCGCUCUGCCAGAGCCUAUUGACUCCCACCCUGCAUUUGCCCGGCUCUCCCCAGCCGGGCUUUUUUUUGUGAGGU
rnacentral:misc_RNA from 1 species